UGGGGAAUAUUGGACAAUGGGCGCAAGCCUGAUCCAGCAAUGCCGCGUGUGUGAAGAAGGCCUUCGGGUUGUAAAGCACUUUUAUCAGGAGCGAAACGCUGUCGGCUAAUACCCGGCGGAACUGACGGUACCUGAGGAAUAAGCACCGGCUAACUUCGUGCCAGCAGCCGCGGUAAUACGAAGGGUGCAAGCGUUAAUCGGAAUUACUGGGCGUAAAGCGUGCGUAGGCGGUUUCUUAAGUCUGCUGUGAAAUCCCCGGGCUCAACCUGGGAAUGGCAGUGGAUACUGGGAGGCUAGAGUGUGUCAGAGGGUGGUGGAAUUCCCGGUGUAGCGGUGAAAUGCGUAGAGAUCGGGAGGAACAUCAGUGGCGAAGGCGGCCACCUGGGACAACACUGACGCUGAGGCACGAAAGCGUGGGGAGCAAACAGGAUUAGAUACCCUGGUAGUCCACGCCCUAAAACGAUGCGAACUGGAUGUUGGUCUCAACUCGGAGAUCAGUGUCGAAGCUAACGCGUUAAGUUCGCCGCCUGGGGAGUACGGUCGCAAGACUGAAACUCAAAUGAAUUGACGAGGUCAUAGCUGUUUU
rnacentral:rRNA from 1 species